UACGGGGGGGGCAAGCGUUGUUCGGAAUUACUGGGCGUAAAGGGCUCGUAGGCGGCCAACUAAGUCGGAUGUGAAAUCCCCAGGCUCAACUUGGGAACUGCAUCCGAUACUGGAUGGCUUGAAUUCGGGAGAGGGAUGCAGAAUUCCAGGUGUAGCGGUGAAAUGCGUAGAUAUCUGGAGGAACACCGGUGGCGAAGGCGGCAUCCUGGACCGGUAUUGACGCUGAGGCGCGAAAGCCAGGGGAGCAAACGGG
rnacentral:rRNA from 1 species